AUACGGAGGGUGCAAGCGUUAAUCGGAAUUACUGGGCGUAAAGCGUACGUAGGCGGUUAUUUAAGUCAGAUGUGAAAGCCCCGGGCUUAACUUGGGAACUGCAUUUGAAACUGGGUAACUAGAGUUUAGUAGAGGGGAGUGGAAUUUCAGGUGUAGCGGUGAAAUGCGUAGAGAUCUGAAGGAACACCAGUGGCGAAGGCGACUCCCUGGACUAGAACUGACGCUGAGGUACGAAAGCGCGGGUAGCAAACAGGAUUAGAAACCCCGGUAGUCC
rnacentral:rRNA from 1 species